GUCUAUGGCCCUAUCACUCUGAAUGUGCUCUAUCUCAUCUGGUCUUGGAAGCUAAGCAGGGUUGGGCCUGGUUAGUACUUGGAUGAAGGACAGAUCUUCAAAAGGCACUGCUCAGAGAUGAGCAGUUUGCAGACA
ensembl:rRNA 5S_rRNA 5S ribosomal RNA